rnacentral:misc_RNA from 1 species
AUCAGCAUGGUUCGACUUCAUUUGCUUAAGAAGUGUUUCUGUUUUCUUUUGGACAAUAAUUCUUUCUGAUUUUUCUAUAGAUUCUGAACAAUAUAUCACAAAAACCAUGGCUGACGUAGAUAUUGAACAAUUAAAGCUUCUAGCAACUGCUUCACUGUUUUCCAAUGCCUGUUCAAGUUCCGCAACAGGACCUCCUUCACAGAGCAACAUAGUUGCUGGGUCAAGCCCCAGCUGUCCUGCCAUGUGUAGUAUCUCAUUGUGCAAAGUUGCCUGACUGUAUGGACCAAUACAGCUAGGAGCCCAGCAAGAAAUACUUUGUACAUGUAAGACCUUUUUAGUGGGAUCAUUUGCCACUAAAACUUCAAUGUAUGCCCUCCCUAGACCAACUAGCAAUAGAGGGAGCUCAAUGGUGGACCGUGAUGGUACACCAUAACGACACUUCUCUUGAGUAAUAAAUCUGACAUAGGUCUCAUUUGCCACGGCAAACUCAUCCAUAUCAGCAAUAUAAAGAUGGAUAUACAGUACAUUUUCCCAAGAGGAACCAUUUUCCACGAGCAGAGCUUCAAUUCUCAUUAGAACAACCUCCAGAUCCUCCUGCAGAUCUGAUGAAUUUUUACUGGAGUCUUGGAGCCAGCAAGAAAUAGAAAAGACAUUAUCCUUCAUUGUUUUAGAAACUUUGAGCUCCUGUUUAGUAACACCUGACCGCUCAGACCUUACAGCAACAAAUUCACUAGCAGCUUCACCUUCUUGUUGGACAUCUCCUUCCACUUCAAAUACUGUAUCCAAAUUGCUGGCUUCAUCAAUGCCAUUUGAAGAUAUUGACUCUACCUUAUUUUCCAGAUGGAAUGCAAGGGGGUGGAGGAUGCCAACAGGGGCUAUGGAAUCUGGAGAAUGCAAGACGAUUUGAAAUUCA